CAUACCUACGGGGGGCAGCAGUAGGGAAUCUUCCACAAUGGGCGCAAGCCUGAUGGAGCAACACCGCGUGAGUGAAGAAGGGUUUCGGCUCGUAAAGCUCUGUUGUUGGAGAAGAACGUGCGUGAGAGUAACUGUUCACGCAGUGACGGUAUCCAACCAGAAGGUCACGGCUAACUACGUGCCAGCAGCCGCGGUAAUACGUAGGUGGCAAGCGUUAUCCGGAUUUAUUGGGCGUAAAGCGAGCGCAGGCGGUUUCUUAGGGCUGAUGUGAAAGCCUUCGGCUUAAACCGA
rnacentral:rRNA from 1 species